UCUUCAGUAGCUCAGUCGGUUAGAGCACCUGACUGUUAAUCAGGGGGUCGAUGGUUCAAGUCCAUCCUGAAGAG
rnacentral:tRNA from 1 species